rnacentral:rRNA from 1 species
AUUGAACGCUGGCGGCAUGCCUUACACAUGCAAGUCGAACGGUAACGCGGGGCAACCUGGCGACGAGUGGCGAACGGGUGAGUAAUGCAUCGGAACGUGCCCAGUAGUGGGGGAUAGCCCGGCGAAAGCCGGAUUAAUACCGCAUACGACCUACGGGUGAAGGCGGGGGAUCGCAAGACCUCGCGCUAUUGGAGCGGCCGAUGUCAGAUUAGGUAGUUGGUGGGGUAAAAGCCUACCAAGCCUUCGAUCUGUAGCUGGUCUGAGAGGACGACCAGCCACACUGGGACUGAGACACGGCCCAGACUCCUACGGGAGGCAGCAGUGGGGAAUUUUGGACAAUGGGCGCAAGCCUGAUCCAGCCAUGCCGCGUGCGGGAAGAAGGCCUUCGGGUUGUAAACCGCUUUUGUCAGGGAAGAAACGCUCUGGGCUAAUACCCCGGGGUAAUGACGGUACCUGAAGAAUAAGCACCGGCUAACUACGAGCCAGCCGCCGCAGUAAUAC